AAAUAAUCAUAAAAUUUUAAUAAUUACUAAUUGCUUUCUGUCAUCUCUACAAAUUUGAAACAGAUGAAACGCAAGUAAAUCAAAAUGUAAAUGAAGGCGCAAUAAUAAACAACAAAUUUAAUAUAACCAAUGUUUGCUCUGCAAAUGAAGUUUUAAGCCUCUGCGAAUCAUGUACGAAAUUCUGUGCAAACGAAUCAAACGUGAUAUGUACGAAGCCUUGUAAAGGGGGAUGUUUUUGUGAUAAAAAUCUGAUGGGGGAUAGAUACGGGCAGUGUGUGAAGUACGAAGAAUGUUCCAGAUCAAUGAAAGAUUAUUAUCCUGUAACAGAACUCCCAGUACCAUACCAAUUGUCAUGUGGUGACCACCAGGUGUACAGCUCUUGUAGGAGAUGUGAUAAGACCUGCACUGAUCCGAACCCUGUUUGUAAUAGCACCUGUAUCG
rnacentral:misc_RNA from 1 species